rnacentral:misc_RNA from 1 species
UAACAAAAAGAUUAUAAUCGGCUAAUAUACACUCGCACCAUAUGUCAACCCUUUGUGACAAUACGUGCUGUGUCUUACAUAUUACAGAUCAACAUGGACAUCCAUUAACACAGACAUAUGCUAUAGAGAUCGCAGAGAGAUGCUAGGAUUUUGGCCAGCCACAUUAUGGAAGGAAAACUGGCAACCUUAAAAGCUUUCACCUUAACCACUGCUGAAAUAUUUU